UCGAGAACCAUUCGCAAUGGGCGAAAGCCUGACGAUGCGACGCCGUGUGAACGAAGAAGGCCUUCGGGUUGUAAAGUUCUUUCGCUUUGGAACAAGAGAUGUAUGGUAAUAUCAUGCAAAUUUGAGGGUACAAGGUAAAGAAGCACCGGCUAACUCCGUGCCAGCAGCUGCGGUAAUACGGAGGGUGCAAGCAUUAAUCGGAUUUAUUGGGCGUAAAGGGCGCGUAGGCGGGAAUGUAAGUCAGAUGUGAAAUCCCUGGGCUCAACCCAGGAACUGCAUUUGAAACUACAUUUCUAGAGGGUAGGCGGAGAAAAUGGAAUUCCACAUGUAGCGGUGAAAUGCGUAGAUAUGUGGAGGAACACCAGUGGCGAAGGCGGUUUUCUAGCUUACUCCUGACGCUGAGGCGCGAAAGCAAGGGGAUCAAACAG
rnacentral:rRNA from 1 species